rnacentral:misc_RNA from 1 species
GAUGAAUAACGCAGCGAAAUGCGAUAAGUAGUGUGAAUUGCAGAAUUCAGUGAAUCAUCGAAUCUUUGAACGCACAUUGCGGCCAUAGGUAUUCCUUUGGCCAUGCCUGUUCGAGCGUCAUUUACACCCUCAAGCCUAGCUUGGUGUUGGGCGCCUGUCCCGCCGUUUUCGCGCGCGGACUCGCCUCAAAGUCAUUGGCGGCGGUCGUGCCGGCCCCCUCGCGCAGCACAUUUGCGCUUCUCGGAGGCCCGGCGGAUCCGCGCUCCAGCAAGACCUUUCACGACUUGACCUCGGAUCAGGUAGGGAUACCUGCUGAACUUAAGCAUAUCAAUAAGCGGAGGA